rnacentral:rRNA from 1 species
AUUGAACGCUGGCGGCAGGCCUAACACAUGCAAGUCGAGCGGAUGAAGGGAGCUUGCUCCUGGAUUCAGCGGCGGACGGGUGAGUAAUGCCUAGGAAUCUGCCUGGUAGUGGGGGAUAACGUCCGGAAACGGGCGCUAAUACCGCAUACGUCCUGAGGGAGAAAGUGGGGGAUCUUCGGACCUCACGCUAUCAGAUGAGCCUAGGUCGGAUUAGCUAGUUGGUGGGGUAAAGGCCUACCAAGGCGACGAUCCGUAACUGGUCUGAGAGGAUGAUCAGUCACACUGGAACUGAUACACCGUUGAGACUCAGACUGGACGCAGCAGUGGGGAAUUGUGGACAAUGUCGGAAAGUCUGAUACAGCCAUGCCGCGUGUGUGAAGAAAGUCGUUGUAUUGUAAAGCACUUUGAGUUGAGAGGAAGAGCAGUAAGUUAAUACCGUGCUGUUGUGACGUUACCAACAGAAUAAGCACAGGCGAACGUCG